rnacentral:rRNA from 1 species
UACGUAGGGUGCGAGCGUUGUCCGGAAUUAUUGGGCGUAAAGGGCUCGUAGGCGGUUUGUCGCGUCGGGAGUGAAAACCCAGGGCUUAACUCUGGGCUUGCUUUCGAUACGGGCAGACUAGAGGUAUGCAGGGGAGAACGGAAUUCCUGGUGUAGCGGUGAAAUGCGCAGAUAUCAGGAGGAACACCGGUGGCGAAGGCGGUUCUCUGGGCCGAUAUUGACGCUGAGGAGCGAAAGCGUGGGGAGCGAACAGG